GGCAUUGUGGCCGAGUGGUUAAGGCGAGACACUCGAAAUGUCUUGGGUUUACCCGCGCAGGUUCGAAUCCUGCCAAUGUCG
rfam:Babjeviella inositovora NRRL Y-12698 unplaced genomic scaffold BABINscaffold_10, whole genome shotgun sequence.